AGAACGAGCCUGGGCAACGGACUGUCUAAGGUUGUUGACAUCAAGCCCCCAGUUCUCAGACUCAUCGAGAUAGUAAGGAACAAGAGAACCACCUAAGAGUGAUAUGGUAGCUGAGUAGAGUGGGUACUGUGGAACCGGAACUAGAAUCUGCAAAACGGUAAAGAAUACAACUUAUAAAUGAAGUUUUCAGGAGUAAAAUCAAAGCAGACGUCUUGGGACAGAGUAUUACCCCAUCUCCCUCACCGCGUAUAACACAGUUCAAGAUCUGCAUCACACCUUUGCUAGCUCCAUCAGUGAGAAAUAUGAGUUCUGGGUCACUGUGUGGAAAACAAACGGUUACAACAAACAUAUCUCAACUUCUUGAAAACCAAAAUGAAAGCAAUAAAAUCACCUUGGAUAGCCAUCACGUCUUUGAAUGAACUCAGCAACCUCUUUCCUAACACCAGGAAGGCCUCUUGAGUCACUGUAAGCACCUGAUAAACACACACACACAGAGAGAAAAGUAAAUAACUUUCUGACAACUGGCUAAAUAAUGAGUUUGGUGAACAUAAUAAUACCUAAUCCGCCAGAGGUCAAGGAGAGAUAAUGCUUAGCUCUGGCAAUAGCAUCAGCUGGAAAUAGCAUUCCAACAUUGGGGUCAUCUAGUAGAAACGGUGCUUGACAGAGCGCAACCACCUG
rnacentral:lncRNA from 1 species